rnacentral:lncRNA from 1 species
UCGCCCCAAGUAAGAGAAGAACAAAUGCUUUUCUCAUAGCACCAUCCAAUGUCAAGAAUGUUCUCUCAUCACUUGCUUUCUCCAAAAUUAGCCGUAGUGCCUUAAUUUGGUCAUUAAUAGACAAGUCCAUCUUUGCCAAUUCAGCAGCAAUGUCAGGUCUUGGUUCUGAUCCUUUCACCAAACUAUUAGUUAUAGUUUUCAAUUGGUCAAUAGACUCAGAAAUCAUCUCACCAAAUGCUUUAGCCAUUUCCUUUUGAAUAUCAGUAUCUACAUUUCGUUUGCGGUGUCGACUGCUUGAGCUAGCUGAGUUUUGUUGAUUUGAUAUUGGCAAAGAGGCACAAUGAUCUGGUUCAACCUCAACUUCCUCAUCAUCAUCAUUGACAUCAAUGUUGGUUUUUAUAAAGAGAGCCUCCUCUUACUUUUUUUUUUUUUUUUUGGUGUGGGUUGAAAUCUGAUCUCAUUAAAGAAACCCAGAAAAAAUAGAUUACAAAGCAAGUCACAAAAACCGGGUAGAGACACCUAGACCUCAAAACCAAGGCUAGAACCAAGCUUCUCACCCAGACCAGUUCAAAACUAAACAAAAACAAAAUACAUAAGAUAACAUAAAACAAGGAAUUCGGACAGCACCACCCAUAACCAAUCAACAAUGUCCCAAACGCAAGACCAAACCCACUAUAGAAGAAAUCGUAACCAAAGGAAAAUGGUGAUGACUCAGUUGAUGUUGCUGCUACUGUUGUGAAGUUUGUGUAUUCAUUUAAAUGGUUUAAUUUGCUUCGGUAAUAGGAUUGUGCAAUUCAUUCAUUAAGC